CACGCUCCCGGGAACCACAGUCCACUUCAGAGUUGCCACCAAACUUCCCUCUUGCUCUUUAGGGCACAGUUCUGUCCUCCCUUAGGUCAUGUACAGUUUUGCACCUGGAAUUGAAAGGAAAGGGUGGGGAGGAGGGACUUCAUUAUGUCGUAAACUGCCAUCCUGUUACCACCCGAGAAAUGUAUUGGGAGUGUCCGUGCACUGUUUUGCUUAGGUGGCAAUGUCGUUGUGGCAAGAAGAAGACCUUGUAUUGCCUGAAUCUUCCUAGUGACUUUCCGACCAAAUCAUCUGAAGGCAGUGCUAGCCUUGCCGUGGUUUGAGGCUAGCGACAUCCCCGAUGCCACCUUCUCUGCCAUCUCCUCACCCUCUCCUGUGUCACAUUUAGUCUGCAGUCUUCUCUCUGGUGUGACCUAAGCCACACCAGACUCUUGGUUGACUUGAGUUAGCACGGCCUCUUUAUAUGUUAGCCUUGGCCGCUCCACUUGCCCUUCAUUUCCACGUCUUUUCAGCUGACAUAUCCUGGUCCUUGUAAUUCCUCAGGCAGCACCACAUCUGGAAUCUUAAACUCCCAGUAUCCCCUCCUCUCCAACGCUCACACCUCUCCCGUUAACCCCUUUAUUUCAGCCUCAGACCCUCCUAAUCCCUCUUCUUUCCCAGACCAGGACGCCGUGGUUGAUCGCAGCAUCCACAGCUUCCCGUACUGCUUACGUCUGAUGCAGCUUCACCCGUGGAACCCCCUUCACUUCUGUCUACUUCUGAAAUCCUGGGAUCUGCUGGAGGGAACACCACUCAUGUGCAUCAAGUUACAGGUCAGCAGCAAUGGACCAGUUCACCUGAAAAUGAUCCCCCCUCCUCCAUAAACACUGCUGCACCUUGAGGCUAUGCCUUGUGCUGACCUUGACUUGCCCUUCUCCCUGCAGGUUUUGCUGUAAGAAACCCCACCACCUCCUGCCAUGCCAUCAACAAGCAUUUCAUGUUUCCAUCGCAUCUUCCUCAGUGUGGGUGAGGCCCAAAUGAAGUCGCUAGGUAGAAGGUGCCCAUGUCUCACCUCUUCAGGGCUGAUGACACAUUGCAGGGGACCAGCUCAGGCCCCAGCUCGGAAGGUGUUUCCAUGCUUGGUGCCAGCAGCAGGGGCACGUAAUGGCCUCACACUCCGAACAGGAUCUGAGCUUCAGAAUGCAUCUCUACAGGCUGUCAGGCCCAGGAGGUCGCCCUGGGGAGGUGUAUCCUGACAGGACCCACGGACAGGUUGGGAGAGAGACAGGAAGGCACCGAGUCUGCAGUGUACCAACAGCAUGCCAACGCCAGGCUGCCCCUGUGCCUGGCUGCCACACUGUCACACCUGAGCCUGGGCUGGAGACCAAGAACAUUCCUGAGCUUUGAUUUGGAAACCUCAGCUCCGUAGACGUGGAUAUCCCGGUGGAGAGCACACAAGCCAGACAGGCCUGGGCUAGAUGCCGAGCCUGUUUCCUCCACGGCCAAGCUUACAGGAGGUCAAGAACCGGUGCCCUUAGCCCAGGAGUGGCGCUGGCAUGAUCUGGAGCAGGGCCUGAGUGCUGGCUUGGAGUGGGCUCCCGUUUGUAGAGCUGGUCCCACGUCCCGUGCCCCAAAUGUCAAUAGCGACAGGUUUUGUUUGUGUGUGGUAUUGCGGUGUGCAGUUAGAAUUUCCUCCCCAGAAACAGGGCAGACUUCUCCAACUGGUUUUUAUUCUGUCCUUGCUUAAACCACAUGUUUGAAAAUGUCAUCAUCAAAGAGGAGUCAUGAAUUAAAUCUCAGGGUCUGACUCCCUGCUGGUCUGGCUCUAAGGGCCCCUGGCCGAUUAGUGAGCCUCACUGGGCAGCGCCUGACUCCCCACAGGUCCUGUGUGCACUCCCCACCUCAGCAGUCUGUUUCUUCCAGAGGACACUGCCGUGAUUGAGGGCCUACUGUGUGCCAGGGAAGGUCUUGGAUGCUUCCCACACAGGCUCCUGCUCACAACUGUCUUGGCAAGUAGGGUAGCUAUACCCACUUUAUAGAUGUGGAAACUGAGGCUCAGAGGUGAUUUGUCUUGCCCAAGGCCACCUGGCAGGUGAGGGCAGAGCUGCGGUCACAGCUGUAUCUGUCUAUCCCAGGAUGCUGCCUCUUGGGCCGGACAGGAAAGUCACAGAGCACAGUGGUAGCUCAGGCUGACAGACGGGGGAAACUGCUGGGAG
ensembl:lncRNA